GACGAACGCUGGCGGCGUGCUUAACACAUGCAAGUCGAACGGAAAGGCCCUGCUUGCAGGGUACUCGAGUGGCGAACGGGCGAGUAACACGUGGGUGCUCUGCCCUGCACUUCUGGAUAAGCCUGGGAAACUGGGUCUAAUACCGGAUAGGAGCCAUUUUUAGUGUGAUGGUUGGAAAGUUUUUUCGGUGUAGGAUGAGCUCGCGGCCUAUCAGCUUGUUGGUGGGGUAAUGGCCUACCAAGGCGGCGACGGGUAGCCGGCCUGAGAGGGUGGACGGCCACAUUGGGUCUGAGAGACGGCCCAAACUCCUACGGGAGGAAGCAGGGGGGAAGAUUGCACAAUGGGCGCAAGCCUGAUGCAGCAACGCCGCGGGUGGGAUGACGGCCUUCUGGUUGUAAACUCCGUUCGCUAGGGACGAAGCUUUUUGUGACGGUACCUAGAGAAGAAGCACCGGCUAACUACGUG
rnacentral:rRNA from 1 species